GCCUGGGUGGCUCAGUUGGUUGAGCAUCCGACUUUGGCUCAGGUCAUGAUCUUGCUGUCCGUGGGUUCAAGCCCCGCAUCAGGCU
rfam:Felis catus isolate Cinnamon breed Abyssinian chromosome A2, whole genome shotgun sequence.